UCACGAAAAUCCAGCGGAUCAGCCAGCAGCGGGGCCUGCAAGCCAUACAAUUUCCAGCAUAGUAGCCAGUCAGAUUGCCAGCACAGUAGCACACAAGCAAUCCAGCAGGAAAAAGAGCAUCGUGUGCCGCUGGCUUUAGACUAGAUAGUCAUAAAAAUUUUUGAACAGCAAAAUAACUGUUGCGUUAUGCUAAACGCAAAAAAGUAGUCGACGUUACUGAUAGAAUAAGGAUAGUGCCUUUGCUGUCCAAUGGCUCCUGUUAACUGAUAUCAAGCUGUGUUCAACAGAAGUGUGAUACUGGACAAUAUUCGUAGGGCCCACACAAAUACUGUCCAACUGUUUUUUGGGUCUGUUUUUUCAGACCUUUCUUUUUCGGUAUGAGAUCCUUGAAAGCUGUUCAUCACACUUGCAAUGCUGAAACACAGCUUUGUAUUGUUUUGUAGCCGAGCCUGUUGAAACUAUUGAAUAAAGAUUUUGAUGAUUAAA